UACGUAGGUGGCAAGCGUUGUCCGGAAUUACUGGGCGUAAAGAGCGCGCAGGCGGCUGGUCAAGUCCGAUGUGAAAGCUCCCGGCUUAACUGGGAAAUUGCAUCGGAAACUGAUCGGCUUGAAGGUGGGAGAGGGUAGUGGAAUUCCCGGUGUAGUGGUAAAAUGCGUAGAUAUCGGGAGGAACACCAGUGGCGAAGGCGACUACCUGGCCCACUCUUGACGCUGAGGCGCGAAAGCUAGGGGAGCGAACGGG
rnacentral:rRNA from 1 species